AUUGAACGCUGGCGGCAUGCUUUACACAUGCAAGUCGAACGGUAACAGGCCGCAAGGUGCUGACGAGUGGCGAACGGGUGAGUAAUGCAUCGGAACGUGCCCAGUCGUGGGGGAUAGCGCAGCGAAAGCUGCGCUAAUACCGCAUACGAUCUAUGGAUGAAAGCGGGGGACCGUAAGGCCUCGCGCGAUUGGAGCGGCCGAUGUCAGAUUAGGUAGUUGGUGAGGUAAAGGCUCACCAAGCCAACGAUCUGUAGCUGGUCGGAGAGGACGACCAGCCACACUGGGACUGAGACACGGCCCAGACUCCUACGGGAGGCAGCAGUGGGGAAUUUUGGACAAUGGGCGCAAGCCUGAUCCAGCAAUGCCGCGUGCAGGAAGAAGGCCUUCGGGUUGUAAACUGCUUUUGUACGGAACGAAACGGCUCUCACUAAUACUGGGGGCUAAUGACGGUACCGUAAGAAUAAGCACCGGCUAACUACGUGCCAGCCGCCGCCGUAAGAC
rnacentral:rRNA from 1 species